rnacentral:rRNA from 1 species
GCAGUCGCCGCGGUAAUACGAAGGGUGCAAGCGUUACUCGGAAUUACUGGGCGUAAAGCGUGCGUAGGUGGUGGUUUAAGUCCGUUGUGAAAGCCCUGGGCUCAACCUAGGAAUUGCAGUGGAUACUGGAUCACUAGAGUGUGGUAGAGGAUAGUGGAAUUUCCGGUGUAGCAGUGAAAUGCGUAGAGAUCGGAAGGAACAUCUGUGGCGAAGGCGACUAUCUGGGCCAACACUGACACUGAGGCACGAAAGCGUGGGGAGCAAACAGGAUUAGAUACCCGCGUAGUCCCUGUCUCUUAUAC